rnacentral:rRNA from 1 species
CAGUCGCCGCGGUAAUACGUAGGGUGCAAGCGUUAUCCGGAAUUAUUGGGCGUAAAGAGCUCGUAGGCGGUUUGUCGCGUCUGCUGUGAAAACUGGGGGCUCAACCCCCAGCCUGCAGUGGGUACGGGCAGACUAGAGUGCGGUAGGGGAGAUUGGAAUUCCUGGUGUAGCGGUGGAAUGCGCAGAUAUCAGGAGGAACACCGAUGGCGAAGGCAGAUCUCUGGGCCGUAACUGACGCUGAGGAGCGAAAGCAUGGGGAGCGAACAGGAUUAGAUACCCGCGUAGUCCCUGUCUCUUAUAC